rnacentral:lncRNA from 1 species
UUCUUGGAGAAAUUUGGGAGCACCUGAGGCAAUCUAUCAAAUUAGAUUUAAUUUCAUAAACCUCAUGACAUAUUCUAAUUAAUUUACGUGGCUUAAAGUAGAACUAGUACAUAGAACUUACUUAUGAUCAAAUAAAAUAUUGAAAAUAGGAAAGGAAAGAGACAAUAAAGUCCAAAAUGCCUCUCUUGGCUUUUAUGUUCCUACAUGAUGUUUCUUCUCCCCAAUUUUCUGAUAGCAUGUCUGCUCAUCUCUUCCUUAUUCAUGAGUUUCUAAUUUAGGUGGUAUUUUAAUUCCUCAACUCCUAAGUUUGUAUUGGUGAGAAAAAUAACACUUAUAGACAUAUUUUUAGACUAGUUUUAACUAUCAACGUUUAAUAGUGUGCACUAUUUUCCCUACAAUUUCAUUUUUACAAACGUCUUCUGGAAACAUAGUGAAACUCCAUCCUAACAUAGUAAGUGGUAUCCAGAACAGUCAGUGACAGGGAGUGACUUAUGAAAUGACCAGGAUAAACAUGCCCGGCUAGCUGGCCGAUAGCUCCUAUGGUCCAGCUGCCCAAGCCAAUUCCAUCCAAGUCCUAGCUGGGAUCUGGCAUGUGCCAUCUGAUAGUAACUGUCAAUUCUGGAUUAAAUAUUGUUGGAGAAAUUUCUGGGAAUUGUGGUUUGCUAAGAUUUUUCAAAGAGUGCAGUGAUUGCAGAAAUUUCUUAACCCAACUCUUGUCAGCCUAUUCCAGACAAAAUAUUUGGACCAGUGGAAUACUGGGAACGUAGCCCAGGACCAGAAUGGGAAGGGUUGAAAUUCACUUUCCAAUCCCAUUAUGUCCAAAUGCACCUUGUUCAGUGUAGCCUGUUAAAAUGUUUUUAUGUCUCUUCCAAUAAGUGUGCAGUGUUAUUUGUACAAUAAAUGUAUAUGAUGAUUGUAAGUAAAUGUAAACAAGGUAUAUCCUCAUCCAAAAAUGCUAACGUACAAGGUGUUACUUAUAAAUUAUAGGAGAAAAAUAGUGGUUAAAAAGAACAAACUGGAUCUAUAAAUAUUGACUUUAAAAAGAUGUCAACAGCAUAUGAUAAAAUGAAAGGGAAUUAGUUGCUACUACUUAUAUGAUGUAGUAGUUCAUCUAUCAGGGUAUAUGAAGUGAAAGCAUUUAGGGAAAGAAAAAUAUAUGUAUACAAAUAUUUAAAGUAUUUUGUACUUUUCAUUUUGCUAUUGUUGUUUUACCCAGGUGGUAUUUUAUUAUAAACAUUCUAGUUUUCUUUCCUCACUGUAUAUUCAUUUUGUUUAUGUUAGUGUGCUUACUGAUUUUUUUAAAAAAUUAACUAGUUUAUUUUCCUGGUAUAUUGUUUCUCUCACCCUUUGCAAAAUUCCUGCAUUUGUUCAGUAUGAUCAUUCUCAGUCCAGGGGAAAAGACAUACAGCAAAAUGUAGAAGAAUAAAUGCUAUUUAUUUGUCAGUUGGUUGGUUGGUUGGUUGUAAAAGGCUGAUUUGUUUUGGCCAUGCAAAUAAAUCUAGCACAAAGAAAAUAUCUGCAAGAACACACAAAGAGUGACACAGAAACUUCUCACAGCUCUCACCCAGUUUCACUGAAUCAUGAACAGAUUGUAAAGAGAAGCUAGUUGUUUGCUGAUACUGUAUCUUCAUACUGCCCAGUCCCCAGAGUCUUCCAGGAACACACAGCAGGAUGCUCAGAAAGAUACUGAAAUGUGAGAACCGAGUAGACCUAAGAUCUGCUUCCCAUGGAAAUGGCAAGAUCCUAGGGGCCAGCUAUGUGGUGUAUUUAGACUGACAACAUCUAAGGCAACACCAUCCAAUGGAGAUAUAAUGUGAGCCACAUUUGUAAUUUAAACACUUUUUGGUGACCGCACUGCAAAAGAUAAGAGGAAAUAAAUGAAAUUAUAUUUAACAAUAUAUUCUUGAACCCAGUAUAAUCAAAUGUAAUCACUGCACCAAGUAGUCAAUCUAAGAAUCAUUGAUGAUCUAUUUUACUUUUUAUUUCGUAUUAUCUUCAAGAUCUGGUACUACGCCUUUUGUACGUAAAGCACAGCUCAAAUCCAGGUGGACACGUUUCAUGGGCUCAGCAGCCCUAUGUGGUGAGUAGCUCCUCUAAUGGACAGCACGGAUGUCAUAGCAAAGCCUGGCUUGGGGUGACAGAGUGGCCCCUCGUGUGCAGUGACGUCAUCCAGUUGAAGGAAGAGGCAUGACAGACUUACUGGGAAUGAGAACAGGAUGUUCAGUGGAGGAAUCUUGACGCAAAGGAAACCCAGGAGAUGAGACUUAACCCAGAACAGGGAACCGACCAAAACAGAGGUUCCAGGAACCCAGCAGAAUUAGAGUUUGCAACAGAUAUGUCCUUGUGGAAAUAAUACAAAUUAUGUUUCAACGACUGAGAUUUAUAAAUGUAUAAUUAAUUCAACAAAGAAGAGAGUCCAAAAGGGUCACACAAACUACUAACUGCAGAAGUAGGUCAGGCCGGGAAGAGAGGACUUUUGUCUUUUACUUUUGCUUUCUGCCUUGUAAAUGCAAACAUUGCCAGAAAGUUGUAAGAAAUGAAUCGUUUUUCUUUAUUUUCUGGGGAAGCAUUACAUGUUUUUAUUUUGUUUCUGGAUGAUAACUACUGAUAUGAUUCUAUUUUUCUGUUUAGGACUUGAGGUGAAAAUUUUUGAAGCAGCACUGUUUAGUAGAAAUUUUGCUUAAGCAACAUAAAUUCCUAUUUUUUUUUACAUUCUCCUAUCAGUAUUUGAGUAGAAACAGGAUAUUAAACAUUUAGAACAUGUUAUCCCAUUCAGAAUGAUUCUUGUUACCUCUGCUUUUUUAAAAUUUGGUUUCUUUUCCAGUAACCAGUAAAAGAACAGAGCAUAUAUUUAGAACUUAGGUGUUUGUAGGUCCUUUGAGCUAUUGAUCAUAAUAAAAAUAGCUGUUUCAUCCAGAGACUUCAAGUUACUCUCAAUAGGGUAAGUUUGGAACAAUUCAAAUUAGUAACUAAUUAAGACUCAGUCCUUAUGUCAUUAAUACAAUAUAAAAAGUCCUAGCGGUGGUAGAAUCAUCUGGAAGACUUUCCUCUCAACAUGCAAAUAAAAGUAGGUAAAAGUAGGUCACUUACUCUUUCUUCGAACAAAUCAAAUAACCCAGGAUGUAAAAUUUAUUUUGUAUCCCCAUAUGGAUAAAAGAAAAAUUGCUCUGACCAUUCACUUAUAGUUAUUUGCUUAGUUGUUUUUACUGAAGUCCACAUUCUAAAGACAAGUUAUUUUGUUUCCCAGUUAGGAUACAGAAUAUUUUGCCCUAAAUGCAAAAAUAAAUGUAAAAUGAUAACAGAGUUUCAAAAAUUAGGAAUUAUAAGAGAACUCCAUGAAAUGAUACUGUCUGUGCUGUAUAGCAUUAUAACAUCUCAGCCAUAUGUGGCUGUUUAAAUUUAAUUUUUAAAAAAUUCAGAUCCUUAGUUGCACUGUCCAAAUUUCAAGGGCUUUAUGGCUACAUAUGGGUAGUGGCUCCAGCUUGGACACUGCAGAUAUAAACCAUUUCUUCAUUGCAGGUAAUUAUAUGGGAAACCACUGAUAGAUCUCUAAGCCAACAAUGCAUUAAAAUGUUCAACUAUUUACUGGGCAAAUAUUAUCCUUGUAUAAAGGGCUAAAAAUUAUUCAGGUUUAACUUUCAUGGAUAAUAAUAUGCAAAUAUAUUUUAUGAAAUUCAAAAAUAUAAUAUUAUCAAUAAUAAAUGUAAAAGGAUAGAAUGUUUUUUUCUAAUUAAAUGGUAGAGACUAUGGGAAGAAUUCCUUUUUCUCCCCAUAAUGCUCUAUGCAUACAAAUUUUAUAAUGAAAAUAUUGCUAGAUUUUUUGUUAUUUUUGUGUAUUGAUGUGCCACUCAUAAAGAAGAGACUUUAUCAUCUCUGAGGCUAUUUAUCCAGGAGUAGAUGAGGGCUUAAUUC